rnacentral:lncRNA from 12 species
CAUACAUGUAUAGACUCCCCCAUUAUCAUCACUCACCAGAGUGGUUAGUUUGUUAGUUAGUUAACCAAGUGUGAACCUACUGACAUAUCAUAAUCACUCAAAGAUCAUUAGUUACUUUAAGGGUUCACUCUUGGUGUUGUGCAGUCCAUAGGUUUAAACAAAUAUAAAAUGACAUGUAUCCAUAAAUACAAUAUCAUAUAGAAUAUUUUCAGUGCCCUAAAAAUCCUCUGUGCUGUCAUUUCAUCUCUCCCCCUCCUCCACCCUGUGAAACCACUAAUCUUUUUUACUGUCUUUAUAGUUUUGCCUUUCCCAGAAUAUCAUAUAGUUAGAAUCAUAGAGUACAUAGCUUUUUCAGGUGGACUUCUUUCCCUUCGUAAUAUGCAUUUAAGGUUUCUCCAUAUGUUUUCAUGGCUUAAUAGCUCAUAUCCUUUUAGCACUGAAUCAUAUUCCCUUGUGUGGAUGUACCACAGUUUAUCCGUUCAUCAGCUGAAGGACAUUUCAGCAGCUUUCCAGAUCUGGUGUUUAUGAAUAAAGCUGCUAUAAACAUCUAUGCGCAGGUUUUCAUUUAGACAAAAUUUAAAGUCCUUUGAAUAAAUACCAAGGAAUAUGACUGCUAAAUCACAUGGUAAGAGUUGUUUAAUUUUAUAAGAAACCACCAAAGUGUCUUCCAAAUAGGUUGUGACAUUUUGCAUUCCCACCAGUAAUGUAAAAGAGUUCCUGUUGCUCCACAGCUUUUGGUAUUAUCAUUGUUCUAGACUGUGGACAUUCUGGUACUUAGUUGUAUCUCUUUUUUUAUUUUUUAACAUACUUUAUAUAAAAAAACAACAUACUUUAUUGAAAAGUCAUAAAACUUGUCAGUUUACUGAUUAUAAAUGCUGAUGCUUAUUUUUUUUUAAUUUUUUUUAACUUUUAUUUAUUUAUGAUAGUCACACAGAGAGAGAGAGAGAGGCAGAGACACAGGCAGAGGGAGAAGCAGACCCAUGCACCGGGAGCCCGACGUGGGAUUCGAUCCCGGGUCUCCAGGAUCAUGCCCUGGGCCAAAGGCAGGCGCCAAACCACUGUGCCACCCAGGGGUCCCAAUGCUGAUGCUUAUAAUUACUUAUUACAAAAGGCCAGAUCUGAUUUCAAGCUGGACAUAUUCAGACUAUGACCAUUCUUUUACCAUAAUCUAUCUCUGGAGAAG